AUUGAACGCUGGCGGCAGGCUUAACACAUGCAGGUCGAGCGGGGAAGGGUAGCUUGCUACCUAACCUAGCGGCGGACGGGUGAGUAAUGCUUAGGAAUCUGCCUAUUAGUGGGGGACAACAUUCCGAAAGGAAUGCUAAUACCGCAUACGCCCUACGGGGGAAAGCAGGGGAUCUUCGGACCUUGCGCUAAUAGAUGAGCCUAAGUCAGAUUAGCUAGUUGGUGGGGUAAAGGCCUACCAAGGGGACGAUCUGUAGCGGGUCUGAGAGGAUGAUCCGCCACACUGGGACUGGGACACGGCCCAGACUCCGACGGGAGGCAGCAGUGGGGAAUAUUGGACAAUGGGCGCAAGCCUGAUCCAGCCAUGCCGCGUGUGUGAAGAAGGCCUUUUGGUUGUAAAGCACUUUAAGCGAGGAGGAGGCUACCGAGAUUAAUACUCUUGGAUAGUGGACGUUACUCGCAGAAUAAGCACCGGCUAACUCUGUGCCAGCCGCCGCGGUAAAAC
rnacentral:rRNA from 1 species